GAUGAAGAACGUAGCGAAAUGCGAUACUUGGUGUGAAUUGCAGAAUCCCGUGAACCAUCGAGUCUUUGAACGCAAGUUGCGCCCGAAGCCAUUAGGCCGAGGGCGCGCCUGCCUGGGUGUCACACGUCGUUGCCCCCCCAUCUACUCCUUCGGGAUUGCGGGGGGCGGAUGAUGGCCUCCCGUGCGCCUCGUCGCGCGGUUGGCAUAAAUGCCAAGUCCUCGGCGACGCACGCCACGACAAUCGGUGGUUGCGAAACCUCGGUUGCCCGUCGUGUGCGGUCGUCGCGCAUCGAGGGCUCGAAAAAAUUGCCGGGCUCCGGCUCGGCUUUCAACGCGACCCCAGGUCAGGCGGGGUUACCCGCUGAAUUUAAGCAUAUCAAUAAGCGGAGGA
rnacentral:misc_RNA from 1 species